GGUCUCUGGGCCGCAACUGACGCUGAGGAGCGAAAGCAUGGGGAGCGAACAGGAUUAGAUACCCUGGUAGUCCAUGCCGUAAACGUUGGGCACUAGGUGUGGGGCUCAUUCCACGAGUUCCGUGCCGCAGCAAACGCAUUAAGUGCCCCGCCUGGGGAGUACGGCCGCAAGGCUAAAACUCAAAGGAAUUGACGGGGGCCCGCACAAGCGGCGGAGCAUGCGGAUUAAUUCGAUGCAACGCGAAGAACCUUACCAAGGCUUGACAUGCACGAGAAGCCACCAGAGAUGGUGGUCUCUUUGGACACUCGUGCACAGGUGGUGCAUGGUUGUCGUCAGCUCGUGUCGUGAGAUGUUGGGUUAAGUCCCGCAACGAGCGCAACCCUCGUCCCAUGUUGCCAGCGGGUUAUGCCGGGGACUCAUGGGAGACUGCCGGGGUCAACUCGGAGGAAGGUGGGGAUGACGUCAAAUCAUCAUGCCCCUUAUGUCUUGGGCUUCACGCAUGCUACAAUGGCCGGUACAAAGGGCUGCGAUACCGUAAGGUGGAGCGAAUCCCAAAAAGCCGGUCUCAGUUCGGAUUGGGGUCUGCAACUCGACCCCAUGAAGUCGGAGUCGCUAGUA
rnacentral:rRNA from 1 species